AUUGAACGCUGGCGGCAGGCCUAACACAUGCAAGUCGAGCGGCAGCGGAAAGUAGCUUGCUACUUUGCCGGCGAGCGGCGGACGGGUGAGUAAUGUCUGGGAAACUGCCUGAUGGAGGGGGAUAACUACUGGAAACGGUAGCUAAUACCGCAUAACGUCGCAAGACCAAAGAGGGGGACCUUCGGGCCUCUUGCCAUCAGAUGUGCCCAGAUGGGAUUAGCUAGUAGGUGGGGUAACGGCUCACCUAGGCGAAGAUCCCUAGCUGGUCUGAGAGGAUGACCAGCCAAACUGGAACGGAGACACGGUCCAGACUCCUACGGGAGGCAGCAGUGGUGAAUAGUGAACAAUGGGCGCAAGCCUGAUGCAGCCAUGCCGCGUGUAUGAAGAAGGCCUUCGGGUUGUAAAGUACUUUCAGCGGGGAGGAAGGCGUUGAGGUUAAUAACCUCAGUGAUUGACGUUACCCGCAGAAGAAGCACCGGCUAACUCCGUGCCAGCCGCCGCCGUAA
rnacentral:rRNA from 1 species